GACGAACGCUGGCGGCGUGCUUAACACAUGCAAGUCGAACGGAAAGGCCCUGCUUUUGUGGGGUGCUCGAGUGGCGAACGGGUGAGUAACACGCGAGUAACCUGCCCUUGACUUUGGGAUAACUUCAGGAAACUGGGGCUAAUACCGGAUAGGAGCUCCUGCUGCAUGGGGGGGGUUGGAAAGUGUCGGCGGUUGGGGAUGGACUCGCGGCUUAUCAGCUUGUUGGGGGGGUAGUGGCUUACCAAGGCUUUGACGGGUAGCCGGCCUGAGAGGGUGACCGGCCACAUUGGGACUGAGAUACGGCCCAGACUCCUACGGGAGGCAGCAGUGGGGAAUAUUGCACAAUGGCCGGAAGCCUGAUGCAGCAACGCCGCGUGCGGGAUGACGGCCUUCGGGUUGUAAACCGCUUUCGCCUGUGACGAAGCGUGAGUGACGGUAAUGGGUAAAGAAGCACCGGCUAACUACGUG
rnacentral:rRNA from 1 species